CAAACUGGGAGGACUGGGAGAGAGAGAGAUGAGCAGCAGCUGUGAAUCCAGGCGUCUCUCUCUCAGCCCUGGGCCUCCUGCUGACAGACAGAUUCUUGAAUGGCUGAUGGUCAGAAUAAAGAGACACAGAUGUGGACAAUUAUCUCCGGUUCACUCAUGCGCGCCGCACGCGCCCCUCUCCCCAGCUCUGCGCAGCUCUCGGCGGGUCUCCGAGGACAAGAUCGACCCCUGGAAAUGAUCAUCACACCUGCGUGAAGAUGUGAUCCUGGCACAGCCCUGACGUAAUUUAUGAAGCGCUGCAGAAACACGGCUC